GGACUGUGGCUCAGUGGUAGUGCACUUGCCUGGCAUGUGUGAGGCACUGGGUUCGAUUCUCAGCACCA
rnacentral:tRNA from 1 species